AGCGUAGACGGUGUGGCAAGUCUGAUGUGAAAGGCAUGGGCUCAACCUGUGGACUGCAUUGGAAACUGUCAUACUUGAGUGCCGGAGGGGUAAGCGGAAUUCCUAGUGUAGCGGUGAAAUGCGUAGAUACUAGGAGGAACACCAGUGGCGAAGGCGGCUUACUGGACGGUAACUGACGUUGAGGCUCGAAAGCAUGGGUAGCGAACA
rnacentral:rRNA from 1 species